AGGAAAGGGGUAGGGCAUGCCUAGUCAGUUGCACAACUGAAUGCAUUCAACCAAAGUGUGUCUUCCGCAUUUAACCCAACCCUCGACCUAUGGAAUUCAGACUUUUUUCACCAAGAUCCAUAAUGUAGCCUACGUAGCCCUUUGCUUUCAGCUAUCCAGCUAUAUCAGAGGGAAAGACAUCCAUGCGAUCAUUACCCUGGUCAAUGCUGAAGUGAGACAGAUGGACGGCAAACUUCCUUUUAAGGAUAACGAUGGGAAACGUAUUGGCUAUGAGAAGGUUAAGAAAUCACCAGAUUCCAGAAACACCCUGAUCAAGACGCUCAUCUUUCCUGCUAAGACCACUUAUACUUCAUAAUGAACUUUUGAUUUGUUAAUGAAACCCUUCAUGUCAACCAUCCAUAUGCUAAUUCUACUUUCAGAUGAAGGUUGUGAUAUGACAGGGUGCUUCCACACAGGCUGUGAAUAGGCCUAAUCAUAUGACGCUAGCUACAUUCCAAUGGUGACAUUCUCAUUUGAUCACUUUUUAUUUAAAUGAUGAGACAGGAACCACCAUUACUGUUGGUGUAUUUAUUUACCAGUUUGCUAUAUUUACAUGUAUGUGAUAUUUGAUAUUGUUUAGUUUCAUGUAACGUAUAUAAGGCAGCUGGGAAGAUGCGCCAUUUUCUUUAUUGACACAGAAUAUCACCAGGGAUAUACCAAAAGUGCAGUGACAUUGCUACAGCUUAAUCAACACAACUAGGCUAUAUUUACUUUCACCAAAAUAGCAAUGUAUUUGAAAUGUGAAGAUAGAACACCUAAUCAUCAUGUUAUGUAAUUAAGUGGAGUUUCAUAGCAAGAAUAACAUUUUAUUGGUAUCUCAAACCAUAGUUUCAAGCUUACAUUAUUCCAUGAUUUUAUGUUAUCCCAUCUACGUAUAACAGAAUGUUUUACCAUAAUGUUUUCUUACCUGCCUUUCCUGUCACAUUUAAAUAUUUUAUACAUUUAGAAAUAAAGGUUUAUAUUUUACCAACA